AUAUUGGAUAAUGGUGGCAACCCUGAUCCAGCCAUGCCGCGUGUUUGACGAAGGUCUCCGGAUCGUAAAUCACUUUAUGUUCGGAGGCAGGGCAUUAGGUCACUACCCUGAAUUUUCGACGUUCCCAACAGAAUAGGCCCCCGCUAUCUCUGUCCCAGCCCCCGCGGUAAUACAGAGGGUGCAAGCGUUAAUCGGAAUUACUGGGCGUAAAGCGCGGGUAGGUGGUUCAGUAAGAUGGGUGUGAAAUCCCCGGGCUUAACCGGGGAACUGCUUUCAUAACUGCUGAGCUAGAGUACGGUAGAGGGUAGUGGAAUUUCCUGUGUAGCGGUAAAAUGCGUAGAUAUAGGAAGGAACACCAGUGGCGAAGGCGACUACCUGGACUGAUACUGACACUGAGGUGCGAAAGCGUGGGGAGCAAAC
rnacentral:rRNA from 1 species